rnacentral:rRNA from 1 species
AUUGAACGCUGGCGGCAGGCCUAACACAUGCAAGUCGAGCGGAUGAAGGGAGCUUGCUCCUGGAUUCAGCGGCGGACGGGUGAGUAAUGCCUAGGAAUCUGCCUGGUAGUGGGGGAUAACGUCCGGAAACGGGCGCUAAUACCGCAUACGUCCUGAGGGAGAAAGUGGGGGAUCUUCGGACCUCACGCUAUCAGAUGAGCCUAGGUCGGAUUAGCUAGUUGGUGGGGUAAAGGCCUACCAAGGCGACGAUCCGUAACUGGUCUGAGAGGUUGAUCAGUCACACUGGAACUGAGACACGGUCCAGACUCCUACGGGAGGCAGCAGUGGGGAUUAUUGGACAAUGGGCGAAAGCCUGAUCCAGCCAUGCCGCGUGUGUGAAGAAGGUCUUCGGAUUGUAAAGCACUUUAAGUUGGGAGGAAGGGCAGUAAGUUAUUACCUUGCUGUUUUGACGUUACCAACAGAAUAAGCACCGGCUAACUUCGUG